UUUCGAGUUUUAAAAAAGAGGCCCAAAUUUUGUGCUUGGACUUUUCUUAUUUGACAUAUGGCCCAAAGGCCUCUCUCGCGAUCUCGGCCGACUCCUCCCCCCUCGCUCUUCCUCGAUUGCGCUUCCCUCCGUUCGAGUCCCAAGGAGAUGGAGAUGGAUUGGCCACCGAUGGACGGCGGCCCCUCCUGCGGCCGCGCAACGGCGGUCCCGACUACGGCGAGGAUGGUUCGUGAGGGUGCCCAUGGAGCACUUUGGGAAGACGGUCAGGGCGAACCAGCGGUGCGCGGAGGAGGAGGUCUCAGCUGUCCUCUCCGGCGUGGAGGUGGCCUCAGUCGACGACUCCAUGUUCAGGGAGGACGCUGCCACCCACCUCACCUCCCUCGUCUCCCGCCUCCAGGUCCCCCGUGGUCCCUUUCUGUCCUCUCUCCCCGGAUGCCUGCAGCGACAAGAUCAAGCACCUCCUCGAGACCCCGCCGGAGCACGGCCAGAUCUAGGUCCCCGUCGGCAGGUGCCCCGUGGUCCCCUUUCUCUCCUCUCUCCCCGGAUCUCUGCAGCGACAAGAUCAAGCACCUCCUCGAGCCCCCGCCGGAGCACGGCCGGAUCCAGUUCCCCGUCGACAGGUCCCCCCCGUGGUCCCCUUUCUCUCCUCUUUCCCCGGAUGUCUACAGUGACAAGAUCAAGCACCUCCUCGAGCCCCCGCCGGAGCGCGCCCGGGGUCCGGUUCCACCGACUCAACAUCAAGAACAAAUACUGACUCGAGGGCCUCAUCAAGAUCUGCAACCUGACGACCAUCUGUACCCCUGCCGAUUAUAAUACCCGCCCACUGGAUACCAUACACAGCAAUUUCACGGAUGCCUUUCUGUUUCAUGGAAGCGUCAGAAUCUGGCAGAGGGAAACCAUCCAUCCCUAACUUGCUACUUGUAUGGGAAGACUAUCGGAAGCUUGCUACUGAUGGAGCUAGCCUUUCUGAUAGAAAUGGGGAAUAUAUUGCAUAACAUUAAUGUUAGUGAUUCGCAUCUGUUCAACUUUUGCUUUAGCUGCAGAUUACAAGGCCAGAUAUAUAUGGACCAGAUAUUUUUGAGGUUUGGCACUGUCCGAGUUACAUGAGAAAGUUCCUCCUUUCCCAAGAGAUGUCGCUAUGAAGAUUAUAGAAACAAAAUUAGGAUGCCCAAGAGAUAGCAUAUAUAGCUACAUUUCGGAUGAACCUAUCGCUGCAGCUUCAUUUAGCCAGGUAGCUUGAUGUUUGUAACACUACUUGUCUGAUUCUACUACUCAAUGUGGUAAUUGUCUGCUAUCCUUUUGAAAGUUGUUUAGAAGAAUACUUCUUGCAAAGUAAGGUGAUAUUUUAUACUCACAAGCUAAAUGUAGUAUGUUCUUUUGCUUUUAAACAUGAAUUUAUGAACUAGCAAGUUGUUAACUAUCGUGCGGGACAGAUAUAUCCUACGUCUCGGGGUUGGUAUUGA